AAUGAACGUUGGCGGCGUGGAUUAGGCAUGCAAGUCGAGCGCUCAUCAGCAAUGGUGGGAGCGGCGAACGGCGUAGUAAUGCAUCGGAACGUACCCUCUGGUCGGGGAUAGCUACGGGAAACUGUAGGUAAUACCCGAUGAACUCUGCGGAGCAAAGGUGAGAUUCCGCCGGAGGAGCGGCUGAUGUGAUAUUAGCUAGUUGGUGGGGUAAUGGCCUACCAAGGCGAUGAUGUCUAGGGGGUNUGAGAGCAUGGCCCCCACGACCGGAACUGAGAUACUGUCCGGACACCUACGGGUGGCUGCAGUCGAGAAUCUUCCGCAAUGGACGAAAGUCUGACGGAGCGACGCCGCGUGGAGGAUGAAGGCCCUCGGGUCGUAAACUCCUGUCACAUGUUAUGAAACGCACAGGUCUACCUGUGCGCUGACAAAAGCAUGAGAGGAAGUCACGGCUAACCUCGUGCCAGCAGCCGCGGUAAAGU
rnacentral:rRNA from 1 species